ensembl:lncRNA
AAAACAAGUAAGUAAAUAGUAAGUAAAUAAGUAAGUAAGUAAGUAAUACAAGCAAGUAAAUAAGAAAAGUAAGUAAGUAAAUAAGUAAGUAAAUAAGAAAAGUAAUAAGUAAAUAAGUAAAUAAGUAAGCACUUACUGACUGACUUGCUGAAGUGAGUAAGUAAAUAAGUAUUUAAGUAAGUAUGAAAGGAAGUAAGUGAAUAAAUAAGUAUGUAAGGAAGUCAGCAGGGUAUGUAAAACGUAAGUAUAGAAAUAUCUAAAUACAUAUGCAAGGAAGCAGUUUUAACACACAGGAAAUAAGAAACAUUCGCUUCUAAAAAUAAUAACGCAUCACCGGAACGUGUAGCGCCUCCGGGAUAACAAGCUUCUGAAGGAAGAAAUCAAACGAGAUAUCUUGAGGCUCAUACACAAGGCGGAAUCUGUGAAAUAUCCAAACACGACGCCUGCAAAACACACGGCCGCUUAAUGGAGCAAGACCUAACGAUUAGGAGACGCUGACUGAUGAGAUUAAGAUGUUAACGCUGCUUUACGG